UCUGCUUUCGCGGGGCGCCCCCGCCGCCCUAGGCCGGGACACGGGGAGCGGGGAGGGGGCUCCCUCGGGGCUCCGCCGCUCAACGGCCCCGAUUGCCCGCCGGCCCCGCUCCGGGGGGUGCUGCCCUGCCCUGCCCUCCCCUGCCGGCGCUGCCCGCUCUCCGCCGGGAAGGGAAGGCGCUCCCGGCGGAAAACAGGAUAUGGCAGCGCUGCGCCCUUCCCGUGCUUCCCUUCCCUGUCGCCAUUUCCCCGAACCCGCCCGCCCCACCUGUUGGCCGCCUGCAACUCCGCCGCCCCGGUUUCCCGGAGGAGGCGCGCAGCUCCGCGUGACUGGACGGGGCGGGACCGGACCCGCGGCGGAGCCCCGCUGCCCGGCCUCUUCGGGCAACUGGCGGAAGGGCGCGCGCUGGAUCGCGGCCGCGCGCAACGCUCCUUCCGUUCGGCCUUCGGUCCUGGGCCCGCCGCGCCCGGCCUCGGCGGAGGGCAGCGAGCCAUGGCGCCGCCGGAGGAGGAGAUGCGGGCCCGCCUGCAUCGCGCCGGCCAGUCGCACCUACUGAGCUUCUGGGCCGAGCUGGAGCCGGCGCAGCGGGACGCUCUGCUGGAGGCGCUGGCGCUGCUGGGGCCCGAAGAGCUGGCGGAGCACUGCCGCCGGGCGGUCGAGGCCUGCUCCCGCGAGCAACGGCCCUGCCGGGAGCGCCUAGACGGCCGCGUGCAGCCCCUCCCGCCCGGCUUCGUGGGCAGCGUCCGCGGCGACGACCCGGCGGCCCUGCGGCGGUGGGAGGAGGAAGGCCUCCGCCAGAUCUCCCAGAGCAAGGUGGCAGUGCUGCUCCUGGCUGGUGGGCAAGGGACGCGUUUGGGGGUGCCCUACCCCAAGGGCAUGUUUGACGUGGGCCUGCCCAGCCACAAGACCCUCUACCAGAUCCAGGCAGAGAGGAUCCGCAAGGUGGAGCGGCUGGCUGGCGAGAAGUUUGGCACGCAGUGCGUGGUGCCCUGGUAUAUCAUGACCAGUGAGUUCACACUGGGGCCGACGGAGAAAUUCUUCCGGGAUCACAAUUACUUCAACCUGGAGAGGUCCAACGUGAUCAUGUUUGAACAGAGAAUGCUGCCGGCCGUUACCUUCGACGGGAAGGCGAUAUUGGAAGAGAAGGGCAAGAUCGCCAUGGCGCCAGACGGCAACGGUGGCUUGUAUCGCGCGCUGGUGGACCACAAGGUCUUGGAGGACAUGCAGCAGCGCGGCCUCCGGUCUGUCCACGUCUACUGCGUGGAUAACAUCCUCGUCAAAAUGGCGGAUCCCGUCUUCAUUGGCUUCUGUGUCUCGAAAGGGGCCGAUUGCGGUGCUAAGGUGGUGGAGAAAGCCUACCCCGCGGAGCCGGUCGGGGUGGUGUGUCGUGUGGACGGGGCGUUUCAAGUGGUGGAGUACAGUGAGAUUGCCGCAAAAACAGCCGAGAAACGAAAUCCUGACGGCCGCUUGACAUACUGGGCAGGAAACAUCUGCAACCAUUUCUUCACGCUGGGCUUCCUUCAGGAAGUGGCAGAGCGAUUUGAGUCACGGCUGAAGCCUCACGUGGCGGUCAAGAAGGUGCCCUACGUUGACGAGGAAGGCAACCGGGUAAAGCCUCCAGAGGCCAACGGGAUAAAGCUGGAGAAGUUUGUGUUUGACGUGUUCCCCUUUGCAAAAAACUUUGUUGCCUUCGAAGUCCUGAGAGAGGAGGAGUUCUCCCCGUUGAAAAACGCUGACACGGCUGCCAGAGACACGCCAACCACGGCGUGGCGCGCAAUCCUCUCUCAGCAUUACCGCUGGGCUGUGAAGGCCGGGGCCGGAUUUGUAGCGGGCAGCGGCCAGCAGAUCCUGGCAAAGGAGAGCUUCUCCCAAGAUGAUGAACCGCCUGCGGUGUGCGAGAUCUCACCUCUAGUCUCUUAUUUUGGAGAGGUCAGAAAACUAAGCUCAGCUCAGCUCCAGAAGGGUUAAAACAUCUACUGCUAAAGGAAAUAACUUUGAUGGGUUUUGCACUGGCUCAGAAAUAAGUGGAACAAAGUCCUUGGGGCUGGAAAAAUAUCUGAAGAGCAAAAAUCUUCCAUCUCCGUUUCUUCUUGAUGAAAGCAAAGCUGAAACUUUAGCAAAACCUUUAACGAAACAGCUCUAGCAUGGAAAAUGAUCCUCAUUU